rnacentral:rRNA from 1 species
ACGGGAGGCAGCAGUGAGGAAUAUUGGUCAAUGGACGAGAGUCUGAACCAGCCAAGUAGCGUGCAGGAUGACGGCCCUAUGGGUUGUAAACUGCUUUUGUACGGGAAUAAAGUGACCUACGUGUAGGUUUUUGCAUGUACCGUAAGAAUAAGGACCGGCUAAUUCCGUGCCAGCAGCCGCGGUAAUACGGAAGGUCCGAGCGUUAUCCGGAUUUAUUGGGUUUAAAGGGAGCGCAGGCGGAGAGGCAAGCCAGCCGUAAAAUCGUUGAGCUCAACUCAAUCUCGCGGUUGGAACUGCUUCCCUUGAGUGCACGAGAGGAUGGUGGAAUUCGUGGUGUAGCGGUGAAAUGCAUAGAUAUCACGAAGAACUCCGAUUGCGAAGGCAGCCAUCUGGCGUGUUACUGACGCUCAUGCUCGAAGGCGCGGGUAUCAAACAGGAUUAGAUACCCUGGUA